ACGUGAUCGUAAAGAUGGCGGACUCUGCAAAUCUAAUAUUUCCUCAAGGUUUGACAGAAUCAUUAUGUUUUUGUGAGAACAUUCCUGAAGAACUAUUAUUAAAAAUAUGUUAUGAUGUAUUAGAUUUUCAACAGAUGAAACUAUCAAGUUUACCCUAUGAUUUAUAUGAGAAUGAUUUAUGUUCCAAGAAUAGAAUAGAAAACAUAGUUCGAGCUAUUUCCUUUAUAUACAGAACAGCGGCUCAAAAUAAGGAAACAGACAAUGAACUAAGAUCUCGUUUAUUGUCCAUGUCGAUUUUAUCUAAUAAUACAAUCAAUACAAUUCUACGAGGCUGGCAGAAAGAGGGGAAGCAACUCUUAUUAACAGAUUCUGCUAUGAAAGACAUUAAUGUAGGAAAGCUAUUAGAUAUUAAAUGGAAGAUUGGUAUGUCCGUUAGUUCUAGUGAAUGUAAACAACUCAACUCGUCAUUUGUUUCCAUGGUGAUAACAGUUGCUGACCAAUCAGGAAAAGCUAAACAUCACUCCUUAGAAAUGAC